rnacentral:ncRNA from 1 species
UGGCUUUACAGGACCAACUAAAUGAUAAGCUUUGGCUGUAUCAUAAUAUUCCCAAGUGUUUUUCACGGGAAAACUUACCAGCUUCGAACAUAAGCGUAUACGAGAGUUCUUUCUCGAAGCUAUGGGUGCAGGUGCAUGGUUGUUCUUAGUUCGUAAAGUGAUUUGUCUGAACUGAGACUCAAAUCUAUUAAAUUGAUGCUUUCAGUAUUGUGGUUUUUAUAGCCUUCAUUUACGAGCACCAUAAAAUGUGUGAGGGUUUGAAUGCGUUUAUAAAAUUGGAGCCGUAACUGUUGGUUUGUCCUUUUAUGGGACAUUAGCUUCUUAAGUAGACAAAUUGCGUCUAGCAAUACUAAAGUUGAGCAAUAGCAGGUCGUUGAUGCCAUUAGAUGUCCUGGACCGCAUGUGCGCUGCCAUGAAAGCAUCAAUGUGUAUUUCCUAGACCGAGAAGUCCGGGUAAGCCAGGUGAACAGCUUUCGUGCUUGGGAUUGUGAACAGAAACUUGGAA